rnacentral:misc_RNA from 1 species
AAGUCGUAACAAGGUUUCCGUAGGUGAACCUGCGGAAGGAUCAUUAUCGAAUUAAUCACAGUGGGUUGAUUGUGCUGGCUCUUGCAAGUGCACAUUAGCUUACUUAUUAAUCCAAUACACCUGUGAACCAUAGACUUGACUCUUGCGUAAAAACCAAGAGAAGAGUAUUUAUUACACUCUUUAGAAUGUAUGUGAUUAUUGUAUUGUGUCUUUGUGCACUAUUAAAUAACAACUUUCAACAACGGAUCUCUUGGCUCUC